AGCGGCCGAUGUCGGAUUAGGCUAGUUGGUGGGGUAAAGGCCUACCAAGGCGACGAUCCGGUAGCGGGUCUGAGAGGAUGAUCCGCCACACUGGGACUGAGACACGGCCCAGACUCCUACGGGAGGCAGCAGUGGGGAAUUUUGGACAAUGGGCGGAAGCCUGAUCCAGCCAUGCCGCGUGAGUGAAGAAGGCCUUCGGGUUGUAAAGCCUCUUUCGGCCGGGAAGAAAUCGCAUGGGUCAAUACCCUGUGUGGAUGACGGUACCGGAAUAAGAAGCACCGGCUAACUACGUGCCAGCAGCCGCGGUAAUACGUAGGGUGCGAGCGUUAAUCGGAAUUACUGGGCGUAAAGCGUGCGCAGGCGGUUUGGUAAGUCAGAUGUGAAAUCCCCGGGCUCAACCUGGGAACUGCAUUUGAGACUGCCAAGCUGGAGUUUGGCAGAGGGGGUGGAAUUCCACGUGUAGCAGUGAAAUGCGUAGAGAUGUGGAGGAACACCGAUGGCGAAG
rnacentral:rRNA from 1 species